AUUUAGAAGGUAAACUCAUCCAUUGCAUCUCAACUGAGUAUAGAAAUGAUGAUAUCCAUGAUCAGAAUAAUGAGUGUUUUCUUUCUUUUAUCUCUGCUAGGAUCUCAAGCAAGAAUGUUACCAGGAGAUCAAGGCAUUUUCAAAGUAAGCAGCAUCAACUACUACAAAGAUAAAAGUUCUAGCUUCGUCGUGGAGCAGGUAAAUAGCAUAAUGAGCAACUACGGAAAAACUCCAAGGCCAUCACCUCCUCCGCCCAAUCCUGCACCUACGAAACACUGGAUAUCAAAACCUCCUCCACGCGGUAACUGCAGAGCGAGCAGAUCAAUUGCUAAUUGCUGAUGUUUCUUCGUGUUUGAAGGCAAUGACCAAUUCAUAUUAGCAGUGCUAAGUUUACGAGGACUGAUUCCAGAUUAUUACUAUAAAUAGCUUCUGUCACCUAUAUAUUAGUUGUACAAAUUUAUUUAACAACCAGAAAUGGUUCCGUGUUUUUGCUGUUCUGCUUGCGCACAAUUAGAUUUACUGUAAGUUAGCCUUA